UAGGCUUGUAUCGCCUGGAUGGAAUGUGGGUUUCCUGUGCUAACUACCUAAUUUAUGGUAUUGUCUCGAUGAAUUAGUGUCCCUUUUCAUCUUGUGGCAUACACAUGACAUUAGAUGAACCAUAAAAGUGUCUCUUUGAACCACACCAUUGGCUUUGAUGUUGUGGAACAUUGAGUGUUGCUUGGUCUCUCGGAUACGGAACCGUAUGUGGGCAUGGGGUCGAUCAUGAUCCUUUUGAUGCCCUAAUUAAGCGUUUGCGCUUCUCUUGAAAUGACUUGCCGACGUGUAGUGGCUCGUACCAGCAUGGCGGUUUAAGUCAAAGAGGAAUGC
rnacentral:misc_RNA from 1 species